rnacentral:rRNA from 1 species
UUUGGAGGAGGCAGUAGGGGAGAAUAUGCAACAAUGGAAAAUACCAACCAACAAUGGCGCCGGAGGGAAGAAAAUCUUUGGAUAUAAAAAUCCUUCUCGGGGAGGACAAUAAUGACGUNCCAAAGANANGCCNNU